GAACGCUGGCGGCAGGCCUAACACAUGCAAGUCGAACGGUAACAGGAAGAAGCUUGCUUCUUUGCUGACGAGUGGCGGACGGGUGAGUAAUGUCUGGGAAACUGCCUGAUGGAGGGGGAUAACUACUGGAAACGGUAGCUAAUACCGCAUAACGUCGCAAGACCAAAGAGGGGGACCUUCGGGCCUCUUGCCAUCGGAUGUGCCCAGAUGGGAUUAGCUAGUAGGUGGGGUAACGGCUCACCUAGGCGACGAUCCCUAGCUGGUCUGAGAGGAUGACCAGCCACACUGGAACUGAGACACGGUCCAGACUCCUACGGGAGGCAGCAGUGGGGAAUAUUGCACAAUGGGCGCAAGCCUGAUGCAGCCAUGCCGCGUGUAUGAAGAAGGCCUUAGGGUUGUAAAGUACUUUCAGCGGGGAGGAAGGGAGUAAAGUUAAUACCUUUGCUCAUUGACGUUACCCGCAGAAGAAGCACCGGCUAACUCCGUGCCAGCAGCCGCGGUAAUACGGAGGGUGCAAGCGUUAAUCGGAAUUACUGGGCGUAAAGCGCACGCAGGCGGUUUGUUAAGUCAGAUGUGAAAUCCCCGGGCUCAACCUGGGAACUGCAUCUGAUACUGGCAAGCUUGAGUCUCGUAGAGGGGGGUAGAAUUCCAGGUGUAGCGGUGAAAUGCGUAGAGAUCUGGAGGAAUACCGGUGGCGAAGGCGGCCCCCUGGACGAAGACUGACGCUCAGGUGCGAAAGCGUGGGGAGCAAACAGG
rnacentral:rRNA from 1 species